AUGCACCACAAAACAAACAAAACACGCUACAAACGUGCAGUUGCAGUUGUGAGUGGCCGGGCGAGAAACCCAGCCCGCCACCGCAGCCCCUCUCCACCCUCGCCCCCUCCCCCGCCGCCGCCAGGGGACGGCGCCGGGAAAAGCCCGCGCGUACGUCGGCGGCGGCGGGGCCCCUCCCCUCCCCACGAGGCGCCAGGACGACGCGGGACGGCCGGCUUCGCGGCGGGCCUGCGGCCCGACGGCGGAUCUCCUCGGGUCGGAGGCGAUCUAUGGUUGGCUGCUGGGGGAGGCAUCAUCGGGCGGUGGGCGGCUGUUCCGCGGCUUACGGCGACGAGCUGCGCGUCCAUGUGA
rnacentral:rRNA from 1 species